rnacentral:rRNA from 1 species
GGCCAGACUCCUACGGGAGGCAGCAGUGGGGAAUAUUGCGCAAUGGGCGAAAGCCUGACGCAGCGACGCCGCGUGAGGGAUGAAGGUCUUCGGAUCGUAAACCUCUGUCAGCAGGGAAGAACGGUCACUGUGCUAAUCAGCAGUGAAUUGACGGUACCUGCAAAGGAAGCACCGGCUAACUCCGUGCCAGCAGCCGCGGUAAUACGGAGGAUGCGAGCGUUAUCCGGAUUUAUUGGGUUUAAAGGGUGCGGGGGCGGUCCGGAAGGCCGGCGGUAAAAGCCCGGGGCCCAACCCGGGCGAGCCGUUGAAACUGUCGGACUAGAGACGGCGAGAAGUACGCGGAAUGCGCGGUGUAGCGGUGAAAUGCAUAGAUAUCACGCAGAACUCCGAUUGCGAAGGCAGCAUACCGGCGCCCGACUGACGCUGAGGCACGAAAGCGUGGGGAUCGAACAGGAUUAGAUACCCCUGUAU